UUUAAACUUAUCUUUCCCUGAAUGUAAUAGAACAUUUUCCCAUUGGUUGAUUGAAGUUUGCGUCUCUUUUGUUUCCGGUUUCCGUAUUCACCUUUACUAAUGUUAAAAUUCAUUCUAAGAGCUCGAUAUUUUUUAGGAAUGUCGCUCUCCUUAUAGAGAUAUUAAUCUAAUGAAUUAUUUCAGCACCAAAGUAAUGUUGAGUACAUUUUUUGCAGACAAGAGGGCUCACCAACUAGAGGGUUAUCACAAUGACUGCGGUGGACACACUCUGCUACUAUCGCCGCUGUCCGAAACUAAACUCACCGGAGUUGUCUUCAUCUGCCACACAUCACAUUACUAGGAUUUCCACCUCUCAAUGAAAGGGUUGUCACAUAUCUGUACAAUGUGUAGACACAUGAGAGUAACUAGUAUACAAAAUGGAGAGCAAUCAAAUUCCAAGAAAAUCCAAAACACUUGGUAUAGAAGAGAAAGGAUAAAGCGGAGGUUUUGAGGACCGACAUAAAUAAAAAGUUACAGUUAUUAAAAACACCCGUAUCAAGAAAUACAAAAGGGAUUUGCGGCACGAUGUACUGCAAGCAAACGCGAACCGUUGUGGGAGAGAGGGAGGUAAAAGCUACGAAACUUGACAAAGUGACCGGCCUAUAUAACCAUUACGAACUCAGAAGCAGAUGAGUGCUUCAGAAAGAAGUCAGUGUCGAUCGAGCGGCAGGGGACACUACCUACCGGCUACAUCGCGUGCUUUACGCGAACCGACGAGUAGGUUUAAGAAAGUUUUGGCUGCACCUACCAGACCAUCUUCCAGUCGUAUAUUUUGUUUAUUUGCCAUUUACUGCAUAGCUUCAAAGAUGGCGGACCCACCUCGAUCACGUUUUGCUUGUUCUCAUUUGCCAUAACAUCCUUAGAGAGUCGUCCUCGAUUCGUGGCGUCCCUGAGGGAGCACUAUCUCGGGCGGGCGGUUAAGGCGGGAUCGGCGUAGGUCUCUUCCCUGCAGUUGCAUUUGCCUUGCGGGCUCUAGCAAUAUCAGGAAAUGGUAACCGCGGAGUUUCGGCCUUGUUCCGCAGGGGGUCGCUUCAACGUCAGAGCGCCUUCCAGCGGUACUACGACAUAUAAUUACGCUGCGGCUUGCUGGAUCUCUCCGCCAUACUACACGACGCACUCAGUUACAUGUAAGCCAACCCUGAUUUUGCUUGCAUAUACCUGCUUUUUGCCUUAAUUUUCGAGCCACUAUCGAUGCGAUUAGUAAAUAAUAUUCAGUGCGUAAAUUGCUAUUAGAAACAAUAUUUUAUAUCGGAAAUAACACACACAGAAUAACUCCGUAUACGAGAAUAUUCAAACAUCUUUUUGCAAUUUGGGGAAAGAGUGUUUAAUUUUUAUUUAUUUAUUGUUUCUUUUUGAGGCCGCUGGGUCACUUGAUACUGGCACGUUACUUUCUUAAUUUCGAGCUCGUUUAAAAAUAAACAAUAAAAAUAGCCGGUUUUUAUUUUUUGCAAUAGUUUAUUGUACUUGUAAAAUGUUUAUGUUAUAAUCAUAAAAACGUCCUUAUCUAAUAAAGAAAAAUAAUGAAAC